rnacentral:rRNA from 1 species
UACGUAGGGGGCAAGCGUUAUCCGGAUUUACUGGGUGUAAAGGGAGCGUAGACGGCAGCGCAAGUCUGGAGUGAAAGGCGGGGGCCCAACCCCCGGACUGCUCUGGAAACUGUAUAGCUGGAGUGCAGGAGAGGUAAGUGGAAUUCCUAGUGUAGCGGUGAAAUGCGUAGAUAUUAGGAGGAACACCAGUGGCGAAGGCGGCUUACUGGACUGUAACUGACGUUGAGGCUCGAAAGCGUGGGGAGCAAACAGG